rfam:Erinaceus europaeus unplaced genomic scaffold scaffold00823, whole genome shotgun sequence
GUGCUCGCUUCAGCAGCACAUAUCCUAAAAUUGGAGUGAUACAGAGAAGAUUAGCAUGGCCCCUGUGCAAGGAUGACAUGCAAAUUUGUGAAGGAGUGCAUAUUUAA